GUCUUUAACAUAUGGUAAGCAUUUGUUCCAGAUGUUGCCAAGGGUGUGAAAGACCCCCGGAGCGGAGAGACCCUCACUCAAGUCUUGGGAUGAUGCGACCCCCCAAGAACUCACGUGAGACA
rnacentral:pre_miRNA from 14 species